CAUGUCACUCAAACCAGCUGUAUUAAGGAAGGUGCAAGCUUUUGGGAUUUCUGUUUGGAUUUAGUUUAGGUUCAAAAGAGCACGCACAGAUCCUGAGUGUUGUCAAGCACCCGUGACUGGGAAACGGAGGCGUCCGAUCCGUAUUGGAGUCAAUUCGCCACUUAAUUGAACACAGCCUCGAAGGGAAGGGCCAUAUUUGUGGGCCUGUCUAACAAUUAAGAGUGACCACAUGGAAUGGGGGAUGAAAGGGUUAAAGAAGAACAAAUAUUGAACACAGCUUUUCUAUGAACAAACUGCAGGCAGCUGCUGCUUUGCAAGGGGAACUUCUUGGCUGCCAUUUCUGGAUGUCAAGGCUGCAGAUACACUGGUCAGGACCCUGGGUAGAGAGAGAUGCGUCAGAAUGCGGCUCCUUUCAGAAAGGCUUCUCCGGAGGGAAGCAGUUGAUUGAGAAUAAUGGUUCUGUUUUGGAGGUUGAUGGAAGAUGCCCUUUGGCCAGGAAAACAGCUCAUGCUUUUAGAGGAGGAUAAUUGCCAGAAGGCCUCUCUGAAUAAAAAAAAAUCCUGACCUCACAGCCUUUGCGCUUACUUGGGUUAGAAUGCCACAGUGAACAUUGCCCCUUGUCAUCACGUAGAGGUGCUCACAGGUAAAGCAACACAAGGAGCAUAUAGGAUCACCUGCUGGAUCUUGUUUUUAACACCAGGGAGGAAAAUGGUGUCUUGGGUAAUGAACAUGCCUCAAGACUGAGCUGGCCAUCUUCAGUGUCAUCCAAACCCUCAGUGGCCCCUGAAAAACCCUUUGAAAAGAUUCAGCACGUUGCCAUGGAGAACAUCCCACUGAAGGAAUGUAUAGAAGUAGCAGGGUUAACUGAGUGCCUUCCAUCUUCCCUCCAAGGGAUCUGCAAUGAGAUGGGAGAAGGCAACAGGCUGUGUGGGAACCACUGAAGCUGGGAUGGCAGGGAAAGAACAUCUUAGGCUAACUCUUCAAGCCUUGCUGUCACAUUUGCUUUUGAGUCUAUGGUGUCAGCUGCCUACCAGUUGCUUUCAUCUCUAGAAAUCUGUGACUUGCAGUAUGACAAGAACAAAAGGUGACAAUACAAAGGACAAAGGGCAAGGAAUACAGACGGAGAAGCCGCUUAGAGUCUAGGAUGGCAGAGGUUCUCUUGAUCAUUUCAUUUUUGAGCGCUUGUAGAGCUUUGGUGUACCAGAGGUGCUUGAACAGCUUACCACACCACAGAUGAAUGGCCUUUGGAUUUCUCCUAAGAAAAUGUGGCUACCUGAAAUUCAACUCCAUUUUCUGGUCUUCAAUAUUUCUUUUGUGUUCAGUUUGCCAGCUGAGGAGAAGUGGCUAAGCAUAGCCUGUUACUGAUGCUAAAGCCCAAGUUCUGAACCUAACAACUCCAGCAACAUGAUCCUGUUUCAAGAGACAAAAAAGUGACUAAUGAAAGAAAACAAUUGAUGUGCUAUGUAGAGUUUAAAAGAAGGUAAAGAGAAUAAAUUAAAAGCAACAAC
rnacentral:lncRNA from 1 species